rnacentral:lncRNA from 1 species
UCGAUUUUGAUUAAAGGGCAGUAAGACGUAAAUUGAUUAGCGACUCGUAAUGCAAACAAAACAUGCUUUAAAAUAAAUUAAUUUCCGCGCAAACUCCAAUCUUAACGAUAAAGUUCUUAACAAUAAAGUGAUUCUAGUCAACGCGAACUUCAAUCUUAUCAUGACUAUCAAGAUUUGACUCGUGAAAGAUUACACUGUCAAAAUAAAAUAUGUGUAUCGUAAAAGAAAUCGGUGUGCAGACUAUUUGACAAAUCAAGUUUUUGACCGACCUUCUGAAAUUAAUGAAUAUCAUUAGAGAGAAUCUCAUCAGAGUCUCUUAAUCUAAAAUGUGUAAUAUCUAAACGUUUCUUUUUUUUUGAUUUUAUUGUGCUAUUUUUUCUAUUUGUACAAAAAAUAAAUAAAUCAAUAUCUUGAAUUGUUACGAAAAAUACCGUCAGAUUCUAAAAUAAAUACGAUUCAAUUACGGGAUCACUAUAUUUCACUUCAUUCGUGAAAUUACAAACUCUAUCGUUAAUAUGAAUAAAAUUAUUUUCACGUCUUAAGUAAAAGUUUAAAAAAUUAAUAAAACCUUUUGAAUUAAUAUCCGAAUCAACUAACUAAGACUUUUUAUAUCGAAAUGCCGGUGGAGUAGGCACCCUGAAUUUAUUAUUGUUUGGCAAAGUGUGACAUGAAAUAGGAAAUUAGCUAGGUUGGUGAACCAUAAAAACUUAGACAAGUUUUCUUUUUUCCUUCCUUUAAAUUCCAUAAACGUACCGUUCUCUCUUCGGCCAUUAGCUAAUCUCGAGAAAUCCCGAAAAGAAAUUCAGCCUCAAUGGCGAAAGCAGUGGUAAUAAUAGCGAUAACAAUAACGGGACUAAGGAGUUUCGUUUGUCAUAGAACCCUAGCUCAAUCAAGCUGCACGGACGCGCUCGCGAGCAUGACUC